UGUCCAGUGUUUGCAUUUCUCUGUAAUGAGGCACGGUGACGGAUUGACCCAAUGAGGAAAAAGCCUAUCGUAGAGUGCGCUUUAAAUAGACGCCUCGUUCGAAUGGAUGAGAGCUCUAAAUUCAGAUUGUUAUUACAGUCAUCCCUUACCGCAGGCACGGGGGUUCAGUCUUUAUAUUUCGUUCAUUCCGGCGUAUGACCAAAUGGGGGUGUUUACCGUCAAACACACUGAGGGACAGGAAUACCGUAAGAUUGGACUUCCUUGUUUACUAAACACGUCAGUUUAUAGUUUCUGCCGGAUUCCGUCUUUUAGCUCUGUCUGUCUCCAUGUCGUCCUGCAGCCUGUCUGUCUGGAAGGAGGUCGUGUAGCUCAAUAACUACCUUCAAAUGGAUCAUUAUUUUUGAUCUGCAGCAGACAUAACUCAGGAAGCCAAGAGGUGCAGAGACAGGACUGGCUGAAACGAGACGCUAUGUCUGAAGGCUUCAGCCAGUGUUCUCAUGGACAGUGUGGUUGCACCGUGGGGGGUCUAGAAGCCAAGGCGUUCUCCUGAGCUCUCAGCUGGAGACGAUAGAAAAAGGAGUUUUUAGAAGAUGGGUCUAACUACUGUAUACCCACAUGUGUCCUACACUACUGUAUCAGUCCUCACUGCACUGUCUUAGUCAAUGUCUAUGUCUGUGCGGGUUUGUGUCCUGUGUAUGCUGAAACAUCAGACAAGUAAAAUAAAUAAAUAAGAAUUCCUUGAA